rnacentral:rRNA from 1 species
GACGAACGCUGGCGGCGUGCUUAACUCAUGCAAGUCGAACGAUGAAGCCGGAGCUUGCUCUGGUGAAUUAGUGGCGAACGGGUGAGUAACACGUGAGUAACCUGCCCUUGACUCUGGGAUAACUGCGGGCAACUGUAGCUAAUACCGGAUACGACCCUCGGAGGCAUCUCCUGGGGGUGGAAAGAAUUUCGGUCAAGGAUGGACUCGCGGCCUAUCAGCUAGUUGGUGAGGUAAAGGCUCACCAAGGCGACGACGGGUAGCCGGCCUGAGAGGGUGACCGGCCACACUGGGACUGAGACACGGCCCAGACUCCUACGGGAGGCAGCAGUGGGGAAUAUUGCACAAUGGGCGCAAGCCUGAUGCAGCAACGCCGCGUGAGGGAUGACGGCCUUCGGGUUGUAAACCUCUUUUAGCAGGGAAGAAGCGAAAGUGACGAUACCUGCAGAAAAAGCACCGGCUAACUACGUGCCAGCCGCCGCCGUAA